rnacentral:rRNA from 1 species
UAACAAGGAUUCCCCUAGUAACUGCGAGUGAAGAGGGAAAAGCUCAAAUUUAAAAUCUGGCGGUCUUUGGCCGUCCGAGUUGUAAUCUGGAGAAGCGUUUUCCGCGUCGGACCGUGUACAAGUCUCUUGGAACAGAGCGUCAUAGAGGGUGAGAAUCCCGUCCAUGGCACGGAUGACCGAAGCUUUGUGAUACGCUCUCGAAGAGUCGAGUUGUUUGGGAAUGCAGCUCAAAAUGGGUGGUAAAUUCCAUCUAAAGCUAAAUAUUGGCGAGAGACCGAUAGCGAACAAGUACCGUGAGGGAAAGAUGAAAAGCACUUUGGAAAGAGAGUUAAACAGUACGUGAAAUUGUUGAAAGGGAAACGCUUGAAGUCAGUCGCGUCGUCCGGGACUCAGCCUUGCUCUUGCUUGGUUUACUUCCCGUUCGACGGGUCAACAUCGAUUUUGACCGGCGGAUAAAGAUGGAGGGAAUGUGGCAUCUUCGGGUGUGUUAUAGCCUUCUAUCGCAUGCGUCGGUUGGGAUCGAGGACCGCAGCGCGCCACUAGGCCGAGAGGUACGCCUCUACGUUCCGCGCUUAGGAUGUUGGCAUAAUGGCUUUAAGCGACCCGUCUUGAAACACGGACCAAGGAGUCUAACAUGCUCGCGAGUGUUAGGGUGGAAAACCCUUGCGCGUAAUGAAAGUGAAAGUUGGGACCCUUGUCAUGAGGGGCACCGACGCCCGGCCCGGACCUUCUGCGAUGGUGCUGCGGUAGAGCGCGUAUGUUGGGACCCGAAAGAUGGUGAACUAUGCCUGAAUAGGGCGAAGCCAGAGGAAACUCUGGUGGAGGCUCGUAGCGAUUCUGACGUGCAAAUCGAUCGUCAAAUUUGGG